rnacentral:rRNA from 1 species
UGUGUGUUAGUGGAAGCGUCUGGAAAGGCGCGCGAUACAGGGUGACAGCCCCGUACACAAAAAUGCACAUGCUGUGAGCUCGAUGAGUAGGGCGGGACACGUGGUAUCCUGUCUGAAUAUGGGGGGACCAUCCUCCAAGGCUAAAUACUCCUGACUGACCGAUAGUGAACCAGUACCGUGAGGGAAAGGCGAAAAGAACCCCGGCGAGGGGAGUGAAAAAGAACCUGAAACCGUGUACGUACAAGCAGUGGGAGCACGCUUAGGCGUGUGACUGCGUACCUUUUGUAUAAUGGGUCAGCGACUUAUAUUCUGUAGCAAGGUUAACCGAAUAGGGGAGCCGAAGGGAAACCGAGUCUUAACUGGGCGUUAAGUUGCAGGGUAUAGACCCGAAACCCGGUGAUCUAGCCAUGGGCAGGUUGAAGGUUGGGUAACACUAACUGGAGGACCGAACCGACUAAUGUUGAAAAAUUAGCGGAUGACUUGUGGCUGGGGGUGAAAGGCCAAUCAAACCGGGAGAUAGCUGGUUCUCCCCGAAAGCUAUUUAGGUAGCGCCUCGUGAAUUCAUCUCCGGGGGUAGAGCACUGUUUCGGCAAGGGGGUCAUCCCGACUUACCAACCCGAUGCAAACUGCGAAUACCGGAGAAUGUUAUCACGGGAGACACACGGCGGGUGCUAACGUCCGUCGUGAAGAGGGAAACAACCCAGACCGCCAGCUAAGGUCCCAAAGUCAUGGUUAAGUGGGAAACGAUGUGGGAAGGCCCAGACAGCCAGGAUGUUGGCUUAGAAGCAGCCAUCAUUUAAAGAAAGCGUAAUAGCUCACUGGUCGAGUCGGCCUGCGCGGAAGAUGUAACGGGGCUAAACCAUGCACCGAAGCUGCGGCAGCGACGCUUAUGCGUUGUUGGGUAGGGGAGCGUUCUGUAAGCCUGCGAAGGUGUGCUGUGAGGCAUGCUGGAGGUAUCAGAAGUGCGAAUGCUGACAUAAGUAACGAUAAAGCGGGUGAAAAGCCCGCUCGCCGGAAGACCAAGGGUUCCUGUCCAACGUUAAUCGGGGCAGGGUGAGUCGACCCCUAAGGCGAGGCCGAAAGGCGUAGUCGAUGGGAAACAGGUUAAUAUUCCUGUACUUGGUGUUACUGCGAAGGGGGGACGGAGAAGGCUAUGUUGGCCGGGCGACGGUUGUCCCGGUUUAAGCGUGUAGGCUGGUUUUCCAGGCAAAUCCGGAAAAUCAAGGCUGAGGCGUGAUGACGAGGCACUACGGUGCUGAAGCAACAAAUGCCCUGCUUCCAGGAAAAGCCUCUAAGCAUCAGGUAACAUCAAAUCGUACCCCAAACCGACACAGGUGGUCAGGUAGAGAAUACCAAGGCGCUUGAGAGAACUCGGGUGAAGGAACUAGGCAAAAUGGUGCCGUAACUUCGGGAGAAGG